CAAUAGCGUAUAUUAAAGUUGUUGCAGUUAAUAAGCUCGUAGUUGGAUUUGUGGCGUACGGUGUGUUCCGGGCACUUGUUGUCUGAGUAACCUGCUGUUGCCAUCCUUGGGUGGAACCUGUGUGGCAUUAGGUUGUCGUGCAGGGGAUGCCCAUCAUUUACUGUGAAAAAAUUAGAGUGUUCAAAGCAGGCUUAUGCCGUUGAAUAUAUUAGCAUGGAAUAAUGAGAUAGGACUUUUUUGCUAUUUUGUUGGUUUGCGCAAAGAGGUAAUGAUUAAUAGGGACAGUUGGGGGUAUUCGUAUUCCAUUGUCAGAGGUGAAAUUCUUGGAUUUUUGGAAGACGAACUACUGCGAAAGCAUUUACCAAGGAUGUUUUCAUUAA
rnacentral:rRNA from 1 species